rnacentral:rRNA from 1 species
AACCUGGUUGAUCCUGCCAGUAGUCAUAUGCUUGUCUCAAAGACUAAGCCAUGCAUGUCUAAGUAUAAAUGCUAUACAAUGAAACUGCGAAUGGCUCAUUAAAACAGUUAUAGUUUAUAUGGUAAUCGAAUUUACAUGGAUAACCGUGGUAAUUCUAGAGCUAAUACAUGCUGUUAAGCCCAACUUAUGGAAGGGCCGUAUUUAUUAGAUAACAGACCAAUAUUCUUCGUGUCUAUUGUGGUGAAUCAUAGUAACUAAUCGGAUCGUAUGGGCUAGUCCCUCGACAAACCAUUCAAGUUUCUGCCCCAUCAGCUUUCGAUGGUAGUGUAUUGGACUACCAUGGCUUUCACGGGUAACGGAGGAUUAGGGUUCGAUUCCGGAGAGGGAGCCUGAGAAACGGCUACCACAUCUAAGGAAGGCAGCAGGCGCGUAAAUUACCCAAUUCUGACUCAGAGAGGUAGUGACAAGAAAUA